rnacentral:rRNA from 1 species
UACAGAGGGGGCUAGCGUUGUUCGGAAUUACUGGGCGUAAAGGGCUCGUAGGUGGCCAACUAAGUCAGACGUGAAAUCCCUCGGCUUAACCGGGGAACUGCGUCUGAUACUGGAUGGCUUGAGAUUGGGAGAGGGACGCGGAAUUCCAGGUGUAGCGGUGAAAUGCGUAGAUAUCUGGAGGAACACCGGUGGCGAAGGCGGCGUCCUGGACCAACACUGACACUGAGGAGCGAAAGCCAGGGGAGCAAACGGG